rnacentral:rRNA from 1 species
GACUCGUAGCAUAUAGCUCAGUAACACGUGGCCAAACUACCCUACAGACCGCGAUAACCUCGGGAAACUGAGGCCAAUAGCGGAUAUAACUCUCAUGCUGGAGUGCCGAGAGUUAGAAACGUUCCGGCGCUGUAGGAUGUGGCUGCGGCCGAUUAGGUAGAUGGUGGGGUAACGGCCCACCAUGCCGAUAAUCGGUACGGGUUGUGAGAGCAAGAACCCGGAGACGGUAUCUGAGACAAGAUACCGGGCCCUACGGGGCGCAGCAGGCGCGAAACCUUUACACUGCACGACAGUGCGAUAGGGGGACUCCGAGUGUGAGGGCAUAUAGCCCUCGCUUUUCUGUACCGUAAGGUGGUACAGGAACAAGGACUGGGCAAGACCGGUGCCAGCCGCCGCGGUAAUACCGGCAGUCCAAGUGAUGGCCGAUAUUAUUGGGCCUAAAGCGUCCGUAGCUUGCUGUGUAAGUCCAUUGGGAAAUCGACCAGCUCAACUGGUCGGCGUCCGGUGGAAACUACACAGCUUGGGGCCGAGAGACUCGACGGGUACGUCCGGGGUAGGAGUGAAAUCCUGUAAUCCUGGACGGACCACCAAUGGGGAAACCACGUUGAGAGACCGGACCCGACAGUGAGGGACGAAAGCCAGGGUCUCGAACCGGAUUAGAUACCCGGGUAGUCCUGGCUGUAAACAAUGCUCGCUAGGUAUGUCACGCGCCAUGAGCACGUGAUGUGCCGUAGUGAAGACGAUAAGCGAGCCGCCUGGGAAGUACGUCCGCAAGGAUGAAACUUAAAGGAAUUGGCGGGGGAGCACCACAACCGGAGGAGCCUGCGGUUUAAUUGGACUCAACGCCGGACAUCUCACCGGUCCCGACAGUAGUAAUGACAGUCAGGUUGACGACUUUACUCGACGCUACUGAGAGGAGGUGCAUGGCCGCCGUCAGCUCGUACCGUGAGGCGUCCUGUUAAGUCAGGCAACGAGCGAGACCCGCACUUCUAGUUGCCAGCAA